UUAAAUUGAAGAGUUUGAUCAUGGCUCAGAUUGAACGCUGGCGGCAGGCCUAACACAUGCAAGUCGAACGGUAACAGGAAGCAGCUUGCUGCUUCGCUGACGAGUGGCGGACGGGUGAGUAAUGUCUGGGAAACUGCCUGAUGGAGGGGGAUAACUACUGGAAACGGUAGCUAAUACCGCAUAACGUCGCAAGACCAAAGAGGGGGACCUUCGGGCCUCUUGCCAUCGGAUGUGCCCAGAUGGGAUUAGCUAGUAGGUGGGGUAACGGCUCACCUAGGCGACGAUCCCUAGCUGGUCUGAGAGGAUGACCAGCCACACUGGAACUGAGACACGGUCCAGACUCCUACGGGAGGCAGCAGUGGGGAAUAUUGCACAAUGGGCGCAAGCCUGAU
rnacentral:rRNA from 1 species